AGGUGGCAACACAAGGAACAACAAACUAAAUCAGGUAGCAACCAUGAACCGUUCGCCUCAAUUUCUAGGGUUCUUGGAGGAGAAGAGUCUGGGAAGGAAGAGGAGAAGGAGUGAUGAAGAAGUCUUGAUAUCUUGGAGAUGGAAAGAGCAUGACCUUUCAAACCACAAAGCAAAUGGACCAAUGAUAGCAGCUGCAACAGCAUUUCGAUAGACGACCAGCACGUAGUGGCUCAUUCCACGCUUGAGUGAAGCAACUGAGACUAUGAACAUGCCAGCAUAGCCAAACUGCAAGAAGAUCAUAGCCAAGUAUGGCCUGACACUCCUCCAAACCUGAGCAAGUCUCAGCUGCUUCCCUUAUUUAUGUGGAAAAAAAAAAGAAGAUGAUAACGCCCUGAGUGGCCCGUUACUCUAGCCUCACAUUGUGACGGUGGUAAACCACGGUACGAGGCAGCCAUUUGAGGAGGUAUUUCGCCCCAGGAGCAUGCGCUCACCGGGAUUCAACCCCAGGUUAUAUGUGCAAUGCCUCUGCCACCAGGUACCAGCCCAGCAGCUGCUUCGCUUAUUGCUUCUACAUGUAAUCUCGCUUCCUAAAAUACAUAUCUAAGAAAGAACAUUAUGAAAGUUUUCUUCGUAUUUCUUUCUUUCAAUUGUAUUAGAUAGUCCUCCAUAGAGUUGUUGCUUUGUUCAAUAUCU